CCCCCUCCAACUCUUUUAGAGUACCCAUCAAACUCAAUCCCAGUCUUCCCUUUGUGGUAUAGUACCUUGAAGUACAAUUUUAGAGAUUCAUACACUUAAACACAUUCUUGUAUGCAUGGAAACUAGAAAAAUGUUUGUUUUUGGUCCCUUUUUUGCCCCCAAUUUCUUCAUGUUUGGGACAAUGACCCCCAAACUUAAUCCCAGCCUUCCCAUUGCUAUAUGGUACCUCGUGAUACAAUUUCAGAGAGAUCAUCAUCCAUGCAUUUACACACAAGUUAUUGUCCAGAAACUACACAAAUGCUUGUUUUUGGCCUCUUAUUCCUAAACUGUAGGUACCAUCAAUCCCAGCCUUCCUUUUGUGGUAUUGAACCUUAUUGUAAAAUUUCAUAGAGAUCCAUUCAUUGUUGUCUGGAAACUAAAUGCCUCUUGGGACGCCGACGACAUCUUCGUAAUACGAACCCCAAAUUUACUUUGCGUUCUAAUAAAAACCAUGAAAAUGAGGUUUAAGACAAUGUGUAUAUGUUAGACAGAUUUUUCAGAACAUAAGGCAUCUCUUUACUAGAUAUGGAACAAAGUUUUCCCCCCUUCUGAAAUGUAAAACUUAAUGGAAAAGAGCAAACACAGCCACAAGAUAUAAGCAUCCAUUUUUACGAGAUUCUACCAAGAUUUGUUAUUGUAUAUAUAUUUUUUUUAUGUUUUCAAGAAUUUGAUAAACAGUGGUAUCAUUAUAUACACCUGGAAAAAAGUAUUGCAACACUUCAAUUGAAAACCAUGUUAAAUGACAUGAUUGUAGAAUGUGUAUAAUUUGGGUUUUACCAAGCAUACCAAGUUAAUUUGUCUUUCAGGCAAACUUAAGACUAGAGAGCCGCAUCAUUAGAGAUGUAAUGAAAAAUUUAUUCAAGCUUUGUCUGGUCUUCUAUACCGACAUUCAAUAUAAGUAAUUUUCACGCAAACUACAUAUUAUACAGACAAUAUGUGUUA
rnacentral:lncRNA from 1 species